rnacentral:rRNA from 1 species
UGAGGGAAUAUUUGGGUCAAUGGGCGAAAGCCUGAUGCAGCAACGCCGCGUGAGCGAAGAAGGUCUUCGGAUCGUAAAGCUCUGUCCUUGGGGAAGAUAAUGACGGUACCCUUGGAGGAAGCCCCGGCUAACUACGUGCCAGCAGCCGCGGUAAUACGUAGGGGGCAAGCGUUAUCCGGAAUUAUUGGGCGUAGAGGGCGUGUAGCCGGGAGGGCAAGUCAGAUGUGAAAUCCACGGGCUUAACUCGUGAACUGCAUUUGAAACUGUUCUUCUUGAGUAUCGGAGAGGCAAUCGGAAUUCCUAGUGUAGCGGUGAAAUGCGUAGAUAUUAGGAGGAACACCAGUGGCGAAGGCGGAUUGCUGGACGACAACUGACGGUGAGGCGCGAAAGCGUGGGGAGCAAACAGGAUUAGAUACCCUGGUAGU